GCUCAUUGUAGAGUAUACUGACUCAAACCUAGAUGGCAUAGUCUCCUGUACGCCCAGGCUGUGUGGCAGAUCCUAUUGUUCCUAACCUACACACCUGUACAGCAUGUACAGGUACUAUAAGGGAUACUGUAAGCAACUGUAACAUAAUGAUGCCUGCUCCAGCUGCCACAUCUCCUCUUGUGUUCACAACAGACCUAGAAACCAGUGUCUCCCAGCAUGGUGACUUUCCAGAUGGGAAACCGAGUCUUGGAGAAGUAUGAUGAACAUUCUAAGGAAGCGACUCCUGAACAUCUGGCAUACACGUACCCUGGUUUCCUAUCCAUCACCAAGCACAUAAAUGAAUCCCGCCUCUCCUCCUCACGAGCUCAAAGUGACAAGGCAGAGGUGCCUCUCCUCCUCCGAUCGCCACAGCCUGUCUUUCUCAGUCACAAAACUGCAGGAAUGCUAAAUCCCAAAGUCCCUAAAUACCUCCCCAUCCAACUGAUGCCAACCCACUGACUCUCCCCAGCAGUGCUCUGUUCAGUCAAGUUAAAUCAUCUUUGCCCUGAAAUUGAUACUCCAAUGGCUUAAGCUAACCCCUCCUCCAUAGUUCCACCCUUCCUAAUGUUAAUUCUUUUGAUUCCAUGGAAUAAAAAGCAUAAAAUCUCACUCAGGUAGCCCACAAAGCUCAUCAGCCUCCAAGGCAGAGACCUAUGCACGAAUGUGUCCCAUACAGUGCUGUAUGCCACAGGCUCAUCAGGGCCACAUGGCACCCCUCAGGGAAGUCACGGUUCCAGUUUAGAUGGUCCUGUUCAACGCUAGCAUUAAUGCUAAUUAUAAAGGACUAUACAUUAUUAAUAACACUCAUGUCUUAUCUAAUAACAACAAUAAAAGUAACUUGCCACUUACUGAACAUCUAUUAUAUGCCAAGACAUAGGCAUUUUAAUAAGCAUUUUAUUUAUUCUUCAAGACCCUUGGAUGUUUCAAUAAAGGAUUUACAUAAAUG